GGCUGGUCUGAUGGUAGUGGGUUAUCAGAAUGUAUUAAUUGGUGUCACUAAAGUUGAUAUACAGCCCCCCACUGCUAAAGCCACUGUUGACUGGCUUUAA
rnacentral:Y_RNA from 1 species